GAGAGAGUCAAGGGUCAUUAGCUGACGAGGCAGAGCUGCCCCUUCCCUUGCUCUGCUGUUUUUCUGCUUUCAACAUCCUCAAAGGCAUCUAAUUGUUGGGCCAUCCUGAGUAUCUGCACUUACAGAAAUCAAGGCUCGAGUGGAACUCCCCUGAAAGCCAGGCACCGGGAAGCCAAGAUUAGUUUUCAGAAAAUCAGACAAGGAGGAGCAAGCAGGCACACAGAGGAGCCACUGCAGAGCUGAUGCACCCAGGCUUUGCUAAGCCAAUUAAGCAAUGGAAUAAAGGCCACAACUGGAAUGGACUCGACAGAUCAGUGAAAUCAAGUGGUGAAAAUUAAUAUACUAGGAAAUUAAAUCAAAAUUAUAAAGCUGAGACUGAAUUUGAUUUGUUGGUCUUGGGCUGGGGAUGUUUUCAGGGAAGCUGUUUUCUGUGCAGUGUGAGGGAUGUUUGUGUCCAUCAGGUUUGUGCUCAUUGUUCCUAAAAGAGACCCUCUAAACCAAAGGGUGAUCCUGACCUGUUCCACUUAAGGAGGGGGUACAGCCAGCACAGUGCUG